rnacentral:lncRNA from 1 species
GAUUGGACUCCGCUGAGCUGAUUUGCCAUGGAGAGCCGUAGGUCCGUAGAUAAUAGGAGCCAUGCGUAUUAAUUGUUGAGUAAGCCGAAGGUGCGCAUUAAUAGUUGAGUAGGCCGGAGAGUCGCAUUAAUUGUUGAGUAAACUGGGGGUUUGCAGAGGUCAUGCGCAAUAAAUGCUGGGGCAGUGGCAGGAUAUGGCCCUCGGCCGGACUUCGGAGGGGUUCGGCCGUAGUAGGUGGUCGACAAGGACAGACCUUUGGGGUCGG